AUGGUCCACAACUCAGCUGGCUGUUGUUUCUGUAAGAAAUUACUUUCUUCAUUAUGCAUUGCUCAUGAUUAUUCUGUCUUGAAUAAACAUAUGGUGUGGCACUUUUCAUAUAAUGAUUUUAUAUCUUUAUGGUCCCAAAAUCAUGCUGUUGAUUUACUUUCGUGUUAUUUCAUUAUUUUGGCUCUGAAAAGCAAUAGUAUAGUAUAUCCAUGGAGUAUAAUAGGUUUGUUUGUUUGUUCUAUCAAGCCAGUUUUAUUCCAUUUGCAUGAGCAUAUACCAAACUUUUUUAAUGCUCGCUCGUGA
rnacentral:rRNA from 1 species